GGUCCCAAUGAAGAAUGAUGUUUAUAUAGAAUAAAAGUAGUGGGCUGAUUUCCGCUGAUGACUAAACCAAUUCUGAGGGAUU
rfam:Jatropha curcas cultivar GZQX0401 scaffold108_102, whole genome shotgun sequence.